CCUUCGGGGACAGCGGUGACAGGUGGUGCAUGGUUGUCGUCAGCUCGUGUCGUGAGAUGUUGGGUUAAGUCCCGCAACGAGCGCAACCCUUGUUCUUAGUUGCCAUCAUUUAGUUGGGCACUCUAAGGAGACUGCCGGUGACAAACCGGAGGAAGGUGGGGAUGACGUCAAAUCAUCAUGCCCCUUAUGACCUGGGCUACACACGUGCUACAAUGGACGGUACAAACGGUUGCCAACCCGCGAGGGGGAGCUAAUCCGAUAAAACCGUUCUCAGUUCGGAUUGUAGGCUGCAACUCGCCUACAUGAAGCCGGAAUCGCUAGUAAUCGCGGAUCAGCAUGCCGCGGUGAAUACGUUCCCGGGCCUUGUACACACCGCCCGUCACACCACGAGAGUUUGUAACACCCGAAGUCGGUGAGGUAACCUUUUGGAGCCAGCCGCCGAAGGUGGGACAGAUGAUGGGGUG
rnacentral:rRNA from 1 species